AACAAGUACAUCGUCCUUUUAUUUGGAGAUAAAUCACUCGUCAAAAUGUGCCCGAAAGGGAAAAACCUCAAGACAUGGUUCACUUUGUUCCUGUUGUAUUUCAAAUCUAACCAGUAAAUUGAGGAAAUCUUUCUUUAAGGUGUACAAUUUUUUUGUACUGAAAAAUUGUGUGGCAUAUGGUGUUAAAGGAAAUGUUAAGACCAUCCCAGCUACCUCAGCAUAUCCUCAAAUCUUGGGUAAUUUUCCUUGUUUAGGUUUACCAAGAUCUUCAAGUUGUUGAAAUAUCUAUAUAAGGUAGAGGUGUAUGAUGAAAAGGUAGUCUGCUGGUCCUGAGAAGAAGGAAGGUGGAUAGGAAUGAAUUAUUUUUCAAACUACAAGGAGUAAAUGUUGUUUUGAAUUGUUCCUUUCUAUAUUUUCAUUGUAAAGACUAAAUUAAAAUUAAAAUUUAAUUAAACCGACAAGCUGCA